AGUGAACGCUGGCGGUAGGCCUAACACAUGCAAGUCGAACGGCAGCACAGUAAGAGCUUGCUCUUACGGGUGGCGAGUGGCGGACGGGUGAGGAAUACAUCGGAAUCUACUUUUUCGUGGGGGAUAACGUAGGGAAACUUACGCUAAUACCGCAUACGACCUACGGGUGAAAGCAGGGGAUCUUCGGACCUUGCGCGAUCGAAUGAGCCGAUGUCGGAUUAGCUAGUUGGCGGGGUAAAGGCCCACCAAGGCGACGAUCCGUAGCUGGUCUGAGAGGAUGAUCAGCCACACUGGAACUGAGACACGGUCCAGACUCCUACGGGAGGCAGCAGUGGGGAAUAUUGGACAAUGGGCGCAAGCCUGAUCCAGCCAUACCGCGUGGGUGAAGAAGGCCUUCGGGUUGUAAAGCCCUUUUGUUGGGAAAGAAAAGCAGCAGGUUAAUACCCCGCUGUUCUGACGGUACCCAGAGAAUAAGCACCGGCUAACUUCGUG
rnacentral:rRNA from 1 species